AAGAAGCGCAGUGAGAUUCCGUGCUAUUGGGAGGAUCAACCAGGAGGCUGUCAGAAAGCCCACUGCGCCUUUCUCCACUUGAAGGAACGCGGUGGGAACGGACUGGCCGUACCACCAAGCCAAAAAGCUGACGCCAGUGGCCUUCCUCCGAAGAGCGGCCUUGCAGGAAGUCUGGGCAAGAAGCCUGGGAAGGCACCAAAGAGAGUUGACAUCCCAACUUCCUCCCAUGGCCCGGCUGGAAAAAAACGCAAGCGAUCUGAGGAGGAGGAGGGAAAAGUAAAAGAAUUGCCCUGCAAGAAACGAGUCAAGGGUGGACGCAAGGAGGCCGUGAAGCCUAUUGAUUGGAAAACCACCUUCCCCCCCAAGCAGAAACGGAAAC
rnacentral:lncRNA from 1 species